AAUUCCAACAAAAAUGCCUACACUUGCACUUUUUCAAUAAAAUGCCAAUAUACUACUCCCCCCACACCUAAAUCUUGCAUUGCCCUCAAUGUAAGCAAAGAAAGAGCAAAACAGAGAUAUUGGAGCAACGACACUUCCCUUAAAACGGAGGAGGGCAGAACUGAACUACGGCUGUGGAGGGAAAGGCGGGCGGAAACCCACGUGAUGGAGAUACUGUGCUAAAUUCUGGGCCAUCCCGCCCAUUUGACGCUCCAUCCGCUCCAUACGAGUGUCCAUGUGCUGCAUCUGGAGCCGAAGGGCUGCAAGCUGGCUAUCGGCGGAGGAAGA
rnacentral:lncRNA from 1 species